GGAGAGUGUGGCAGGGUGUUGCCAGUGGAUUUGGUUAUAAUAUUCGAAACGCUUUCCCAAAAGGGCUUAAUUUCUGGGCAGGUCCACCAAAUAUGGAGUAUUGACCCUGGCUCCUGCAAACAUCUCCAGCAUGACCCUGACUUAUUUGGAUCCAUUUUGUUCAGCCUGGUGGGUACCCUGUACCAGCGAUAUAGCACUUUCCUGCUAGUCUCAAUAUGGGAUGUAUU